AGUGAACGCUGGCGGUAGGCCUAACACAUGCAAGUCGAACGGCAGCACAGUAAGAGCUUGCUCUUACGGGUGGCGAGUGGCGGACGGGUGAGGAAUACAUCGGGAUCUACUUUUUCGUGGGGGAUAACGUAGGGAAACUUACGCUAAUACCGCAUACGACCUACGGGUGAAAGCAGGGGAUCUUCGGACCUUGCGCGAUUGAAUGAGCCGAUGUCGGAUUAACUAGUUGGCGGGGUAAUGGCCCACCAAGGCGACGAUCCGUAGCUGGUCUGAGAGGAUGAUCAGCCACACUGGAACUGAGACACGGUCCAGACUCCUACGGGAGGCAGCAGUGGGGAAUAUUGGACAAUGGGCGCAAGCCUGAUCCAGCCAUACCGCGUGGGUGAAGAAGGCCUUCGGGUUGUAAAGCCCUUUUGUUGGGAAAGAAAAGCAGCAGGUUAAUACCCCGCUGUUCUGACGGUACCCAAAGAAUAAGCACCGGCUAACUUCGUG
rnacentral:rRNA from 1 species